AUGGGGCAAGUGCUCCCUCCAGAGGCUCUGUGGGGCAAGUGCUCCCUCCAGAGGCUCCGCGGGGGCAAGUGCUCCCUCCAGAGGCUCCAUGGGGCAAGUGCUCCCUCCAGAGGCUCCACGAGGGCAAGUGCUCCCUCCAGAGGCUCCGCGGGGGCAAGUCCUCCCUCCAGAGGCUCCACGAGGGCAAGUGCUCCCUCCAGAGGCUCCCUGGGGGCAGGUGCUCCCUCCAGAGGCUCCCUGGGGGCAAGUGCUCCCUCCAGAGGCUCCCUGGGGGCAAGUGCUCCCUCCAGAGGCUCCUUGGGGGCAAGUGUUCCCUCCAGAGGCUCCACGGGGGCAACUGCUCCCUCCAGAGGCUCCAUGGGGCAAGUGCUCCCUCCCGAGGCUCCGUGGAGGCAUCUGCUUCCCCACCCCUUCCCACUUCUCAGGCUCCUUGGCUUGCACCCCUUCCUGUGUCCCCAGUCCCGCAGGGCAGCAUCGAGUCUCAGUGGGCACCCCCUACCCUGUGCUGUCAAUGUCUUUCCGCCUCCAUCUCAUAAAGGCACAUCUGGCUGCAUUAAGCCCCCACAUGGGUAACCCAGGAGAAUCCCCAUAUCAAGAGCCUCACCUCAAUCACAUCUGCAAAGUCCCUUUUGCCAUGUAGAAUAACAGAAAUAGCCUCCAGGGACUAGGACCUCGGGCCAUGUAGAGUGACAGACGCAGGCUCCAAGGAUUAGGACCUGGGUAUCUUGGGGACUGUUAUUCAGCCUACCACGUCCACUGAAAUUCUUUGUGGAUUGAGGAAGAAGGAGCUGGGAACGCUUGAGCCCCAGGGGCUUUUGCUGUCGAAGGGAAGCUGGAGUCUGAGGACAAAGGUCGGGCAGAACUGGAGAGAGGGGGUGGGGACAGCAAAGACCCUCGGCCCCGACUCUGUCCUCAGCUGCCCUCCCUCCUGUGCAGGGGGUGCUGUCCCCCUGGAGCAGGAAGCUCUGAGGAUGAGGCAUGGGAUGUGCCUGAGUCACUGUGCUCUCCACGGGGGAGGGCCCAUCCUACCCACUUGCCACAUCAUUUCAAAAAAGUCCAGUGAUAAAGAUGAAUAUUUCACGAUGCCUUUGAAGCCGCCAGAAUUCCACACAGCGCCCUGCCUGCCUAGGCCUUCUGAUUCUUCAAAGUAGAGCAGAGACGAGUCCCAGGCCCCCUGGAGGCAGCGGCCUCAAGGUCUUGCUCUCCCUUUCAUCUCCAUCCAGGGCAGGCACAGCAGCCGCGCCCUCUGAGCCCCCCUGCCCCCGGGCCCACCGCUGAGUGAGCCUCUGCUUCCAAGCGGUUGGGGACCCGGAGUUUGUCACCAGUUCGAGUACAGAGACGUGAGUUCCGUGGAAUUUAUCCACAAGCCAGAGCCAAGCUCAGUGGGAACAAAUGGCUGGCGUGCUUCAAAGACAGAAUGUUUUCCAUCACUGUCCUCUGGUAGGGCAUCGCCCACCCGCACUGUGCCAUCGCCGUUGGGGUGGACGCAAAGGUGGCCCUUGGCUGCAAUGUUUAAUCUCACGUGAGGCAAAGAGGCAACUCUCCUCUCUUCCUUCAUCAAAGAACCCAGAAA
rnacentral:lncRNA from 13 species